rnacentral:tRNA from 2 species
GGAGGCGUUUAGGUUCCUGGUGGUCCUCCCGGUCUUCAAAACCGGUGAGACCGAGUACCUCGGUCUGGCAGGUUCGAUUCCUGUCCGCCUCCGCCA